CGCAUCCGCAUUUUAUCCCUUUUGUCCGCAUCCGCAUUUUAUCCCUUUUGUCCGCAUCCGCAUUUUAUCCCUUUUGUCCGUCCGUCCGUCCGUCCGCGUGUCCGUCCGUCCGUCCGCAUCCGCGUUUUAUCCCAACCCCAAUUACAACUGGGUCUCUGUAAAGAACGGAAACCGAAACGACCGAAUCCGGAAAUGACCGAAACCGGAAACGACCGAAACCGGAAAUUUCCGCCUAAUUUCCAGCAUAACGAAUAAUUAUAUUGUUGAUGCUCGAUGACUCGAUCGCAUGGCAUAUCAUUUUAGAUAAAUAUCGUCC